GUGUCUGUGGUGCAAUUUUUAGAGCAUUCGGCUGCUGAUUGAAAGGUUGGUGGUUCAAGCCCACCCAGGGAUG
rnacentral:tRNA from 1 species